rnacentral:tRNA from 1 species
GCAAUGGUAGUUCAGUGAUAGAAUUCUCACUUUCCAUGUGGGAGACCUGGGUUUGAUUCCAGACCAAUGCA